UACGUAGGGGUCGAGCGUUGUCCGGAGUUACUGGGCGUAAAGCGCGCGCAGGCGGCGCGAUAAGACCGGCGUGAAAGCCCCCGGCUCAACUGGGGAGGGUCACGCGAUACUGGUCGACUCGAAGGCAGGAGAGGGUAGUGGAAUUCCCGGUGUAGUGGUGAAAUGCGUAGAUAUCGGGAGGAACACCAGUGGCGAAGGCGACUACCUGGCCUGUUUCUUGACGCUGAGGCGCGAAAGCUAGGGGAGCAAACGGG
rnacentral:rRNA from 1 species